UUUCCCAAACUUGCUUAGUGCUAACCAUUUAGACGGGAAUACUUGCUUGCUAUUGCGGCGGGGAAACCCUGUUUCGCCGCGAAGCUGAAGAACGUCGACGGAGCGGCUUAAGGACUGGCUAUUUUCCAUCUUCGAAGCGGCAGAAAAGAGCGUCUAGAGGACGAAUUCGGUAGUCGCUAGUUCAUCAAUUUCUUCACUGAUUUUCCUGCAUUGUAAUGAUAUGUUAUUCAUUUUCAAUUACUACUAUAGAAUAGGAAGAAGGCAAAUCAGAGUCCAUGAACUGAAUUAUCUAAAUAAGUUUCGGAAAGGGGGUGCCAAUUUUGCUUUUGUUGUGAAUGAAGUUGUCUAUAAAUGCUUCGAUCGUUUUACUUCACAGCCUAUCGCAUGUAGUGAAGUUGGCGCGUUUUUCUCGUCUUCCUCUUGGAGAGAUUCGAGUUUCGGUUGUAGUGUAAGAACUUACUGCAGUGAUACUUAUGGUAGAAAUAAUGGGUUGGAUGAUGCAAAUGACGAAUUACAGAAAACUGAUUUGGAGGAUUCCGGAGAUUCGAGUUUCUUCCGGAAUCCUAAUGAGGAUUAUGAAAAGGAUCGGCACUUUCAGUUCGGUGAUGAUAUAGAGGCUGAAGAGUCUAAUGACGAAGACGAUGAAGGUCAUGUUGAUGAUGCUGCCGAUCUUUUGUGGCCUAAUUUGUCAAAUAAAAAUCAUGGACAAGGAAAUGAUUUCAAAAGAGUUGAAAUCGGUGAGGAUGUAUUUCGAUCUCCCUCAGUGAGAGAUACUUGUAAACUGAUCCAGCUAAGUUCCUCUUGGAAUCGGAAGUUUGAAGGGGAAUUGAGGCAUUUAGUUAGAAGCCUAACUCCCGUGCAGGUAUGUGCUGUUUUGCUCUCUCUGGAAGAUGAAAGACUUUCUUUGCGCUUCUUCUAUUGGGCAGAUAGAUUGUGGCGGUAUAGACAUGAUUCAUCUGUGUACUUGGUGAUGCUUGAGAUACUGAGUAGGACCAAAUUAUGUCAAGGUGCUAAACGGGUUCUUCGACUUAUGACUCGUAGAGGAAUUCAGCUUUGGCCUGAAGCUUUUGGUUUUGUAAUGGUGUCAUAUAGUCGGGCAGGAAGAUUAAGGGAUGCAAUGAAGGUCUUGACCUUGAUGCAGAGGGCAGGUGUAGAACCUAAUCUGUCUAUUUGUAAUACUGCAAUCCAUAUUUUGGUGGUGGGCAAUGAGUUAAAGAAGGCAUUGAGGUUUGCAGAACGUAUGGUUCUUAUUGGCAUUGCUCCAAAUGUCGUGACUUAUAAUUGUUUGAUCAAGGGCUAUUGUAACACGUAUCAGGUUGACCAAGCCAUGGAAAUGAUUGAUCAAAUGCCAUCUAAGGGAUGUUCCCCAGAUAAAGUUAGUUACUAUACUGUCAUGGGAUUUCUCUGUAGAGACAAAAGGGUGAAUGAAAUUAGAGAAUUGAUGAAGAAAAUGCAGACGGACAGUAACUUAUUACCAGAUCAUGUUACUUACAAUUCUCUAAUCCAUAUGCUUUCCAAGCAUGGCCACGGUGAUGAGGCUCUAGAGAUUCUUAGAGAAGCAGAAGCAUUGCGAUUUAAGGUUGACAAGGUUGAGUAUAGUGCAAUAGUUCAUGCAUAUUGCAGGGAAGGAAAGAUUAAUAAGGCAAAAGAGCUUGUUGGUGAAAUGUUGUCCAACGGCUGUGCUCCAGAUGUUGUAACAUACACCUCUGUCCUUGAUGGGUUUUGUCGCAUAGGGAAACUUGAUCAAGCAAAAAAGAUGAUGCAACAGAUGUAUAAGCAUCACUGUAAACCUAAUGCUGUAACAUAUACAACAUUGCUAAAUGGUCUUUGCCGCAAUGGUAAAUCCUUAGAAGCUAGAAAGAUGAUGAAUAUGAGUGAGGAAGAGUGGUGGACACCUAAUGCAAUUACUUAUAGUGUUGUAGUUCAUGGGUUACGUCGGGAAGGGAAAUUGAAUGAAGCAUGCGAUUUAGUCAGGGAGAUGAUUGGAAAAGGUUUCUUUCCAAAUCCAGUUGAAAUUAACUUAUUGGUGCAAUCUCUUUGUCGGGAUGGGAAACCACAUGAAGCUACUCAGUUACUAAAGGAGUGCAUGAACAAGGGUUGUGCUGUAAAUGUAGUCAAUUUCACCACUGUCAUUCAUGGAUACUGUCAGAAAGAUGAUUUGGAAGCAGCACUGUCAUUGUUAGAUGAUAUGUACCUUUGCAACAAGCACCCUGAUACCGUGACAUACACAACUUUAAUUGAUGCACUGGGCAAGACUGGCCGUAUAGAAGAAGCCACUGAAUUUACAAUGAAGAUGCUGAGGCAAGGGUUGGUUCCUUCUCCUGUUACAUACAGAUCUGUCAUCCACCAGUAUUGUCGAAAAGGCCGGGUGGAAGAUUUGUUGAAAUUAUUGACGAAGAUGCUUGCAAAAAGCAGAUUUCAAACAGCAUAUAAUUUAGUAAUUGAAAAACUAUGUAAAUUUGGAUACCUUGAGGAGGCCAACAGCCUUUUAGGUGAGGUUUUGAGAACAGCUUCAAGAACUGAUGCUAAAACUUGUCAUGUGCUUAUGGAGAGUUAUUUAAGUGCUGGAAUUCCUAUGUCAGCAUAUAAAGUUGCUUGUCGAAUGUUCAAUAGAAACCUACUUCCUGAUUUAAAGUUAUGUGAGAAGGUUAGCAAGAGACUUCUCAUAGAAGGAAAUUUGGAGGAGGCCGAUAGGCUUAUAUUAAGGCUGGAAAGAAGAUCUUCGCUGUUCCAUUUUCUUUUGGCCCUUCUCUGGGUCCUUGUGACCCACUGCCCACGUCUUGCCCACAUCUCCUGAAUAAAGUGGUUGGUCCAAUAGGAUCAAGUUUGUCUUUUGAUACAAUUGCUUGUGAUAAUUCCAAUGUAAAAGGGAAAAGAAAUUCAUUAAUGCUAUAACUACCUGUUGUUGUGACGUCGACUGCUAUAAGUACGGGCUUAAGCUUAAACAUUAACUGCUGUGGGACUUCUUUUUAAUGACUUUUUUCUUCUCUAAAUGCUAGGUUGGGUACUAGAGUGCUCUUUUGAAAGAUCCCUAAUGUUGGUUGGGGGCCAUGAGAUCACUGGUGACGGGUGAGGAGUUUUUCCUUUUCUAAUGUAAUCAGACAGUAUGUCCACUGGGCCGCUAUUUUGGUUCAUAGAAAGGCAGCCAGUUGCUUCACAAAUAUUUAAAGGUGAGAAACUGGAAAUGAUCUCAGUCCAGAAGAGCAUGUAGGAAUAUUGGUUGUUACCCUUUCUGCGCUUGUCUCCCAUGUCAUUGUUAUACCUCUAUGCAAACAAAAUAACAUUAUCCCAGUCAUAAAAUUCUCAUCUAUCAUGUUCACAAGUUAACGGUAAGUGCAUAUGAAUUGUCAGUAAGUCCCGUCAGUUUCUUCUUCAGCAACGGAUUUUUAGUUUCUAAUUCUACAAGGUGAAUUUUUAUUUUCCUGGUGGGUAUGCCAUGGAGGGCUUAAUACGGUUGUUGGCUACAAAAGCACUGUCAGCAUAUGGCUCUUGCCUUGUUGGUAUCUGUUCGGUGGAAAAUCAAAGUAUCUCAAGACCAUUUACUGUUCUUGUGCUUAUUCAGGAAGAAGUUAUUUAGAAUACACCUCCUAUGCUUCAAUCUUUGCUUACGUUUUAUUCUUUUUGCCUAGGGAUAAUAUGAUGCAAUUAUUGAGGGGACAAGGAAAAGCUAAGAUCAUUUGAGUUUAUGUGAUUGAAUCAAUUUCUUGGAUUCUUUGCUUGGAGAGAAACCGUCAAAAUUUACAUUGACGGGGAAGAACUUGGAAAGUUAUGUCCCUAAUCAAAUGCAUAUGAUUUGAUGAUUUAUUAUGCACAAUAUUACACUAUUAUUAUUAGUAAUUAAUUGCCAUGGGAGUUCAUUCUGUAAGCUCCUGAUGUGGAAGUGUAGUUUUUUUUCACUUAGCUUUUCAAUACAUCAAUGAAAAGGAGGAAAAGAAAAAUGAGAUUGGCUAUUGCGGAGAAUAUCACAAAUUGUACCAAUGAUAACUUGUGCUGAUUUGUGUUGUGGAAUUUAGCUUUGCAUUAGUAUACCUUUUGAUUGGUCUUCAUAGAAGUUGAUCAGAGUUUGAUCUUAGACUACCAUCACGUCAUCAUCAUUUUUUUUUUUUUAAAGAAAAGAUUGUUAUUUAUGUAUUUUAUUAUGCUUAGAGUCUACUCUUGAAAGGCAUAUGAUACUGAAUUAGGCUCGUUUUUCUUUAUAUCAGGUGUAACAGAAAUAACGCCCUACUCUCCUGGUGAUUCCACUCUCCAGCAAACAAGACAGACUUCUUACUUCAAAAGGCAUAGGGAGCAGCAUGAGUCAUCAAAGAUAAUGGCCAGGUAUCUCUAUUUUUCUUGUAUUAUGAGGAAUUGAAGUGCUGCAACAACUGGACUGGAAGGGCAAGUUCUGGCAUUCAAGCCACACACAUACAUAUAUCAUAUGUCCCAACGUUAACUUUUUCAACAGCAAAAACUUUUCUCAAGCUGUGAACAUGAGAGCCACAAAAUCCAAAGGUAUCAGUAAUGCAUAGAUUGAAAGAGGAAUGAUUAUAUGAUUUGUUGUAAAGUUUGUAAAGAAAGGGAGAGUUUCGAGGCAAAUGAAUGUAUAAAAGCACGCAAUGUCUGCUAUGAAGGUAUCAUCAUGCACUCUUGGUCUCGCCUCCCA